rnacentral:lncRNA from 1 species
GCCCUUCGCAGCCCGACGCUAGGGGCCUGGCAGGGGGCAGCAAGAGACCGCGGCUCCCAUGAUUCUCCUGCCUCGGCCUGCUGAGUGCCUGGGAUUCCAGGCACGCACCACCACUUCUGACUGAUUUUUGUAUUUUUGGUGGAGACGGGGUUUCACUGUGUUGACCGGGCUGGUCUCCAGCUCCUGGCCUCGGGUGAUCUGCCCCCCUCAGCCUCCCGAGGUGCUGGGAUUGCAGACGGAGUCUCGCUCACUCAACGCUCAAUGUUGUCCAGGCUGGAGUGCAGUGGUGUGAUCUCAGCUCGCUACAACCUCCACCUCCCAGCCGCCUGCCUUGGCAUCCCAAAGUGCUAAGAUUAUAGCCUCUGCCUGCCCGCCACCCCGUCUAGGAAGUGAGCAGCGUCUCUGCCUGACCGCCCAUCGUCUGGGAUAUGAGGAGCCCCUCUGCCCAGCUGCCCCGUCUAGGAAGUGAGGAGCGCCUCUGCCCAGCCGCCAACCCGUCUAGGAAGUGAGGAGCGUCUCUGCCUGGCCACCCAUCAUCUGGGAUGUGAGGAGCGCCUCUGCCCGGCCGCCCUGUCUGGGAAGUGAGGAGUGCCUCUGCCCAGCUGCCCCAAAUGGGAAGUGAGGACCGCCUCUGCCUGGCCGCCCUGUCUGGGAAGUGAGGAGCGCCUCUGCCCGGCCGCCCCAUCUGGGAUGUGAGGAGCGCCUCUGCCCGGCCGCCACCCCGCCUGGGAGGCAAGGAGCGCCUCUGACUGGCAGCCCCAUCUGGCAACUGAGGAGCGCCUCUGCCCGGCCGCCACCCCAUCUGGGAAGUGGGGAGCGCCUCUGCCCGGCCGCCCCAUCUGGGAUGUGAGGAGCGCCUCUGCCCGGCCGCCCCGUCUGGGAAGUGAGGAGCGCCUCUGCCCGGCCACCCUGUCUGGGAUGUGGGGAGCGCCUCUGCCCAGCCGCCACCCCGUCUAGGAAGUGGGGAGCACCUCUGCCCGGCCGCCCUGUCUGGAAAGUGAGGAGCACCUCUUCCCAGCCGCCACCCUGUCUGGGAUGUGAGGAGCGCCUCUGCCCGGCCGCCCCGUCUGAGAGGUGAGGAGCGCCUCUGCCCGGCAGCUGCCCCGUCUGGAAAGUGAGGAGCAUCUCUGCCCGGCAGCCCCGUCUGGGAAGUGGGGAGCGCCUCUGCCCAGCCGCCCCAUCUGGGAGGUGGGGAGCACCUCUGCCCGGCCGCCCCAUCUGGGAGGUGGGGAGCACCUCUGCCCGGCCGCCCAUCAUCUGGGAAGUGAGGAGCGCCUCUGCCUGGCCGCCCAUCAUCUGUGAUGUGAGGAGCACCUCUGCCCGGCCGCCCCGUCUGGGAAGUGGGGAGCGCCUCUGCCCGGCUGCCCAUCGUCUGGGAAGUGAGGAGCGCCUGUGCCCGGCCACCCAUCGUCUGUGAUGUGAGGAGCGCCUCUGCCUGGCUGCCCCAUCUGGGAGGUAAGGAGCGCCUCUGCCCGGCCGCCCCGUCUGGGAGGUGAGGAGUGUCUCUGCCCGCCCGCCCAUCAUCUGGGAAGUGAGGAGCGCCUCUGCCCGGCCGCCCAUCGUCUGGGAUGUGAGGAGCGCCUCUGGCUGGCCGCCAUUCGUCUGGGAGGUGAGAAGCGCCUCUGCCCAGCCGCCCCAUCUGGGAAGUGAGGAGCACCUCUGCCCAGCCUCCCCGUCUGGGAGGUGAGGAGCACCUCUGCCCGGCCUCCCCGUCUGGGAGGUGAGGAGCGUCUCUGCCUGGCUGCCCCGUCUGGGAGGUGAGGAGCACCUCUGCCCGGCCGCCCCGUCUGGGAGGUGGGGAGCACCUCUGCCCGGCCGCCCAUCGUCUGGGAGGUGAGGAGCGCCUCUGCCCGGCCGCCCAUCAUCUGUGAUGUGAGGAGCACCUCUGCCGGGCCGCCCCGUCUGGGAAGUGGGGAACGCCUCUGCCCAGCUGCCCAUCGUCUGGGAAGUGAGGAGCGCCUGUGCCCGGCCACCCAUCAUCUGUGAUGUGAGGAGCGCCUCUGCCCGGCUGCCCCAUCUGGGAGGUGAGGAGCGCCUCCGCCCGGCCGCCCUGUCUGGGAGGUGAGGAGUGUCUCUGCCCGCCCGCCCAUCAUCUGGGAAGUGAGGAGCGCCUCUGCCCAGCCGCCCAUCGUCUGGGAUGUGAGGAGCGCCUCUGCCCAGCCGCCCAUCGUCUGGGAUGUGAGGAGCGCCUCUGCCUGGCUGCCCCAUCUGGGAAGUGAGAAGCGCCUCUGCCCGGCCAUCUCAUCUGGGAGGUGUACCCAACAGCUCCGAAGAGACAGCGACCAUCGAGAACGGGCCAUGAUGACGAUGGCGCUUUUGUCGAAAAGAAAAGGGGGAAAUGUGGGGAAAAGAAAGAGAGAUCAGAUUGUUACUGUGUCUGGUAGAAAGAAGUAGACAUAGGAGACUCCAUUUUGUUCUGUACUAAGGAAAAUUCUUCUGCUUUGGGAUGCUGUUAAUCUAUAACCUUACCCCCAACCCCGUGCUCUCUGAAACAUGUGCUGUGUCAACUCAGGGUUAAAUGGAUUAAGGGUGGUGCAAGAUGCGCUUUGUUAAACAGAUGCUUGAAGGCAGCAUGCUCGUUAAGAGUCAUCACCACUCCCUAAUCUCAAGUACCCAGGGACACAAACACUGCGGAAGGCCACAGGGACCUCUGCCUAGGAAAACCAGAGACCUCUGUUCACGUGUUUAUCUGCUGACCUUCUAUCCACUAUUAUCCUAUGACCCUGCCACAUACCCCUCUCCGAGAAACACCCAAGAAUGAUCAAUAAAUACUAAAAAAAAAAAAGAAUUUUCCUUUAUAGAUUAUUUUUCUUUUUAACAAAAUUAAAAGGAUUUAGUUAAGCAUAUUUUGGUUCAAACUUUCCAGUUGUUAUAGAAGUGUGAAAAAUGCAAACUGAGCUUGAAGGAAUAUUGAAUAUCUUGUCCAACCCCCGUUAUUUAUAGAUAAGGAAACUGAGGUCCAAAAUGGUAAAAAUUAUUAUUUAACAAAUAAUGUUGCUAGUUAGUGACUAUUACACAGGAUUCUUUCAAUUGCAGGUGGCAGAAAUGCACCUCAAGCUAACUCAACCCAAAAAGGGAAACAGCACAAUUAUUUUCUCCUAUGGGAAAAAGGCAGAGAUGUCCUCAGGCACAACUGAAUCCAGGAAUUAAAUUAGAUCCACCGCUCUCUCUGUAUCUCAUCUCAGCUUCUCUCUGUACGUAGUCCUAAUUUUCUCAGGCUCUCCUGUGCAACAAGGUAUAUGGCUACCAGUAUCUCUAAGGUUGCAACCUUUUAACUGGAAACGUAAAGGAAAGAGAGAAAUUCUAACUAUUAGUCUUUGAACAUCAAAUCCAAAAUAAAUAUUCCGAUUAGCUUCUUUGAGUCAUAUGACCAUCCCAUUAUUUUGGAGGUGGGGUGGAGGUGGCAGGAUAUGUAAUUGGCAGUUCCAGAAAAAC